AGUGAACGCUGGCGGUAGGCCUAACACAUGCAAGUCGAACGGCAGCACAGUAAGAGCUUGCUCUUACGGGUGGCGAGUGGCGGACGGGUGAGGUAUACAUCGUAAUCUACUUUUUCGUGGGGGUUAACGUAGGGAAACUUACGCUAAUACCGCAUACGACCUACGGGUGAAAGCAGGGGAUCUUCGGACCUUGCGCGAUUGAAUGAGCCGAUGUCGGAUUAGCUAGUUGGCGGGGUAAAGGCCCACCAAGGCGACGAUCCGUAGCUGGUCUGAGAGGAUGGUCAGCCACCUUGGAACUGAGACACGCUCCAGACUCCUACGGGAGGCAGCAGUGGGGAAUAUUGGACAAUGGGCGCAAGCCUGAUCCAGCCAUAGCGAGUGGGUGAAGACGGCCUUCGGGUUGUAAAGCCCUUUUGUUGGGAAAGAAAAGCAGCAGGUUAAUACCCCGCUGUUCUGACGGUAACCAAAGAAUAAGCACCGGCUAACUUCGUG
rnacentral:rRNA from 1 species